CCCUACGGGGCGCAGCAGUGAGGGAUAUUGGUCAAUGGGGGAAACCCUGAACCAGCAACGCCGCGUGAGGGAAGACGGUUUUCGGAUUGUAAACCUCUGUCCUCUGUGAAGAUAAUGACGGUAGCAGAGGAGGAAGCUCCGGCUAACUACGUGCCAGCAGCCGCGGUAAUACGGAAGGUCCGGGCGUUAUCCGGAUUUAUUGGGUUUAAAGGGAGCGUAGGCCGGCUUUUAAGUCAGCUGUGAAAGUCCGCGGCUCAACCGUGGAAUUGCAGUUGAAACUGGAGGCCUUGAGUGCACACAGGGAG
rnacentral:rRNA from 1 species